rnacentral:miRNA from 1 species
UUUAGUACUCGGACUUCAAGAG